GUCUUUUUGAAAAUAAUUUAAAGUCUAAUCUGCCCACUGAAUAUAAUUUAAAGGGCUGCAGUAUAUUGACUGUACAAAGGUAGCAUAAUCAGUAGUCUUUUAAUUGAAGACUUGUAUGAAUGAUUUGAUGAGAUAUAAACUGUCUCUUUAUUAAAAAUAAAAUUUAAUUUUUUAGUUAAAAAGCUAAAAUAUUUAUAAAAGACGAGAAGACCCUAUAGAGUUUUAUAUUUAUUGAUAUUUGAAUUUUAUAUAAAAUUUUAAAUUUAAAUAUUAAUAAAUAUUUUGUUGGGGUGAUAAAAAAAUUUAAGAAACUUUUUUUAAAAAAUAAACAUUAAUUUAUGAAUAUAUGAUCCAUUAGUUAUGAUUAUAAGAAUAAAUUACCUUAGGGAUAACAGCGUAAUUUUUUUUUUUAGUUCAAAUAAAAAUAAAAGUUUGCGACCUCGAUGUUGGAUUAAGAUAAAAUUUAAAUGCAAAAGUUUAAAAUUUUGAUCUGUUCGAUCAUUAAAAUCUUACA
rnacentral:rRNA from 1 species